rnacentral:rRNA from 1 species
GUCUUAUUGAUAUUAAUUUUAAGUUUGACCUGCCCAAUGAUUAAAAUUUAAUGGCCGCAGUAUUUUAACUGUGCAAAGGUAGCAUAAUCAUUAGUUUUUUAAUUGAAAGCUUGAAUGAAAGGUUUGAUGAAAAAAUAACUGUCUCUAUUUAAUUUAAAUAAAAAUUUAUUUUUAAGUAAAAAAGCUUAAAUAUUUAUAGAAGACGAGAAGACCCUAUAGAGUUUUAUAUUUAUUAAAAUAAAUGUAAAAUAUAGAAUAUAAUAAUUUUAUUUUAAUAAGUAUUUUGUUGGGGUGAUAGAAAAAUUAAUUAAACUUUUUUUUUAUGAAAACAUUUAUUUAUGAUUAAUUGAUCCUUUUUUAAAGAUUAAAAGAUUAAAUUACCUUAGGGAUAACAGCGUUAUUUUUUAAUGAAGUUCAAAUUUAAAAAAAAGAUUGCGACCUCGAUGUUGGAUUAAAAUGAAUUAUUGGUGUAGAAGCUAAUAUUUUAGGUCUGUUCGACCUUUAAAAUUUUACAUGAUCUGAGUUUAAACCGGUGUAAG